AGACAUUUCAUAUUCUCACAUGGCGACAGGAAAGACUAGUAAUUAUUAAGAACUUGGUAUUUCAAUUGCCCUACUCUUGGUACCAUCAAACUGUCUUUCCUGCCGUCCAGUCUUUAAAGAUGGGUAGUUUGCUAACUCCUCCUCCUUCCAUAUGCUUUACUCGAGCGAAAACGGCGACGAGGAGCCAGGCAGCCCGGCCGUCAGGCAGACUCAGAGAGCGACUCGUAGAGAGAGACACAGAGAGAAGAGAGCAGAGACCUCACUCACCUGGGAAGGUUCCUACAAUUUUGAUUCGUCCGACAUGCCUGUCUUAGGCUAAAGGCUUUUAUUGGGAUCCCUGGUCUACGUCACCCUCUUGUGAACAUCUGCCAAAAGCCAUCUGCAACGCCUUUGUGCAUGGUUCGACAAUGACAGCGAGCGAAGCAGAACGAAGGAAACGCCCUACGAUCUACGUGAAUUGCCUUGUUCUCCUACCAGUUGUUUAUAACUACGGUACUACGUUAUUUUAAAGGCUUAUUUAUGUAAUAAAUAUCAUAUUCAA